AUUGAGCAUAAGGAAACAUAGUCCAAGCAGUUCUUUGGUGGUGUUUGCAGAAAAGGAUCAUUGUCGUCUCAUGGAGCUGAACUCGAUAAUGACACCCCACAAGGAAGGAAACAAAUUGCAUUUUCUGUCUUGCCUGUUGAGCUCUGAUAGCUGUCACACUUGUUUGGAUUGAAAGCAAUAAAGGUUGAGAAUUGGGUUUUUGAAUCCACACUGCAUAAAUAUUUUUGUUAAAUUUCCACACUGCAUAAAGGUUGAUCCGAAUCUAUUUUGUUGGCACAUUUAACGGUAUAGGAAUAACUUUCCCACUGGAAGCACACUUAUAACCAUAAUCAAGGUCUUGGCUGUAGCAUCUUUCAACAACUGCAGGAGUGCAAGAAAUGCAGUUGCAAGAGUGGCUUGUAGCCUAACUAUGCAACCAAAAGGCUCAACUGAUUGUCUAAUUAAAGUUUCUUAACAAAGCAUUAACCAACAAACAUGAUCAUCUAGUACUAGAGUGCACCUUAGAACAGAUACAACGGUAAAAAUAGUGUUCGGAGUCCCUUUCAGUUUUAAUAUUUGCUUUUACAGUCAUAUUUUGUUCCAUUUGCGAGAAGGAAUGCUAUGUUGGUUGCUUGAGGGACCAUGUGCAUCAUGUGUGAUAUGAGGGAAUUACCAAAGGUGUGAUGGCUUUGCAAUGAUGACUAUUGUAUACUCAUUUGAAUUGCGGGCUAUCAGUAUGGCCUAGCUUCAAUAGGGAUAUAAAUGUUGUAAUGUUUGUAAUUGAAGUACAUCCCUGAGAGACUGAGUUUGCAGCUGAUUGUUCGAUUGUGAUUUCUGAUAAUCUUGAGGUUAUUGAAGGAACGCGUUGGUCGUAUGUUUGAUAGUUAGGAUGGAUUGAUGCUUUUCUGAGCACCGUAGUCAAUGCCCUACGUUGAUAGUGAAGGUGCCAGCUUCAACGUUGAUUUCUCACACUGCCGCAAAAGAUUAUUUCAUAUGUUGGUCCCGUGGUUUAAUGUAUUCUAAUUUAGUGUUUUUAUAUUUUCAUAUGUAUACUGUAAAGUUUUGGUGUUAUGCCAUUAAUAAAGUGAAACU